UAAAUUAAAUAAAUAUAAACAUUUUUAAUAUGACUUAAAGGACGCAGUAUCCUGACUGUGAUAAUGUAGCAUAAUCACUCGCCACUUAAUUGGUGGAUAGUAUGAAUGGUUGAACGAAUAUUACACUGUCUCCUUAAGAAAAUUCAUGAAACUAAAGUAAUAGUAAAGAUGCUAUUUAAAACUGUAAGACGAAAAGACCCUAUAGAGCUUGACUAUAAUCUAUAUAACCAUAAUAAGGAAAAACACCCUAAAAUAAUAUAGAUUGGUAGUUUAGUUGGGGCGACUAUCUUUUAAAAUUAACAAAGAUAAGCAAUGUUAAUAGAAAAACUUAUUGUAUAAAACAUUAUUUUAACAAUUAUAAUAAUAGGCUAUAAUGACCCAUUAAUAUUUAGUAGAAAAAUUAAUGAUCAAUUAAUAAAAGCUACCUUAGGGAUAACAGGAUAAUUUUGCUCUAGAGAUCUUAUCGAAAGCAAAGUUUGUCACCUCUAUGUUGAAUUAAGAUAUCCUGAUAGUGCAGAAGCUAUCAAAGGUAGGUCUGUUCGACCUUUAAAAUCUUACAUG
rnacentral:rRNA from 1 species